AGACCCGAAACCCGGUGAUCUAGCCAUGGGCAGGUUGAAGGUUGGGUAACACUAACUGGAGGACCGAACCGACUAAUGUUGAAAAAUUAGCGGAUGACCUGUGGCUGGGGGUGAAAGGCCAAUCAAACCGGGAGAUAGCUGGUUCUCCCCGAAAGCUAUUUAGGUAGCGCCUCGUGAACUCAUCUCCGGGGGUAGAGCACUGUUUCGGCUAGGGGGCCAUCCCGGCUUACCAACCCGAUGCAAACUGCGAAUACCGGAGAAUGUUAUCACGGGAGACACACGGCGGGUGCUAACGUCCGUCGUGAAGAGGGAAACAACCCAGACCGCCAGCUAAGGUCCCAAAGUCAUGGUUAAGUGGGAAACGAUGUGGGAAGGCCCAGACAGCCAGGAUGUUGGCUUAGAAGCAGCCAUCAUUUAAAGAAAGCGUAAUAGCUCACUGGUCGAGUCGGCCUGCGCGGAAGAUGUAACGGGGCUAAACCAUGCACCGAAGCUGCGGCAGCGACACUUUAGUGUUGUUGGGUAGGGGAGCGUUCUGUAAGCCGUUGAAGGUGUCCUGUGAGGGG
rnacentral:rRNA from 1 species